rnacentral:rRNA from 1 species
UUUAAAGAGAGUUUGAUCCUGGCUCAGGACGAACGCUGGCGGCGUGCCUAAUACAUGCAAGUCGAACGAACGGAGGAAGAGCUUGCUCUUCCAAAGUUAGUGGCGGACGGGUGAGUAACACGUGGGCAACCUGCCUGUAAGUUGGGGAUAACUCCGGGAAACCGGGGCUAAUACCGAAUGAUAGAAUGUGGCGCAUGCCACGCUUUUGAAAGAUGGUUUCG